GCAUAUGUUUUCCCAACUGACAACAGGGAAACUAUUAUUCAGAACGGAAUAAAAAAUAUAAAAGUAGCUAUACAAGAUGGCUACCUUUUUGACAGAAGAGGAAACAAAUUAUCUUCGUAUGGUUUCAUUGAUGAUUGGCGUUUGUCCAAAAGCAGUGCGCACUUUUUUUGAUGGUAUAUUCCCUCCGGCAAAUCUGGCUGCUGAUUUACAUACCCAUACCCCAGCACUGAAUAAGAUAAGAAAGAAGAACGUGCUGAAUUCAUCUCAAUGGGCACUUUUAUUUCCUACAGGUUCCUCAAACGUAACUUCUAGCAACUUCGACUUGACAUUACUGAUAUGCCUGUUGAGGAACAUUUCAAAAAUUAGCAAACCAACCAGAGGUUUUGAUGUUCUUCCCGCAAUAACAGAUGUUAGUCCAGCAGACGAUCUUGCAAGGAUAAAGUAUUACAGGAAUAUGAUUGCUCAUUCGGAUGACAGCAAAAUGUCGAAUCAAACUUUUAAUGAUGCUUGGAUCAAUGUUGCUGAGGUAUUACCAUCGUUAUUCA